rnacentral:rRNA from 1 species
UACGUAGGGUGCGAGCGUUGUCCGGAAUUAUUGGGCGUAAAGAGCUCGUAGGCGGUCUGUCGCGUCGGUCGUGAAAACUUGGGGCUUAACCCUGAGCUUGCGGUCGAUACGGGCAUGACUGGAGUUCGGUAGGGGAGACUGGAAUUCCUGGUGUAGCGGUGAAAUGCGUAGAUAUCUGGAGGAACACCGGUGGCGAAGGCGGCAUCCUGGACCAAUUCUGACGCUGAGGAGCGAAAGCCAGGGGAGCAAACGGG